rnacentral:sRNA from 10 species
GGCUUGUGUCAGCCGGUUAACAGACACCCAUAAAACCUGGCACUUGGGUUGCACAGGGGACGGAAAUUCCGACGCAGUAGCGGAGACUUGUUGCCACUAUCCUUGACAGGACGCAAUUCAUGGUAUGAAAAGAAUUGGCACG